rnacentral:rRNA from 1 species
GACGAACGCUGGCGGCGUGCCUAAUACAUGCAAGUAGAACGCACAGUUUAUAGCGUGCCUUGCUACACCAUAAACGGUGGGUUGCGUACGGGUGAGUAACGCUUAGGUAACCUGCGUGGUAACGGUGGGUAACUAUUGGAAAUAAUAGCUAAUACCACAUAAUAUUAAUCAUUGCGGGAUAAUUUUCGGAAAGAUGCAAUUUCAUCACUACUAGAUGGACCUGCGUUGUAUUAGCUAGUAGGCGAGGUAACGGCUCACCUAGGCGGCGAUACGUAGUCGAACUGAGAGGGUGAUCGGCCAGCCUGGGACUGAGACCCGGCCCAGACUGAUACGGGAGGCAGCAGUAGGGCAGCGUGGGCCAGGGACGGAAGUCUGAGCGCGCAGCGCGGCGUGAGUGAGGAAGGUUUUCGGAUCGUAAAGCUCUGUUGUAAGAGAAGAAAGGCUGUGAGAGUGGAAAGUUCAGAAUGUGACGGUAUCUUACGAGAAAGGGACGGCUAACUACGUG